rnacentral:rRNA from 1 species
AGAUGGCGACCGGCGCACGGGUGAGUAACACGUAUCCAACCUGCCGAUAACUCGGGGAUAGCCUUUCGAAAGAAAGACUAAUACCCGAUGGCAUAAUAGAACCGCAUGGUUUGAUUAUUAAAGAAUUUCGGUUAUCGAUGGGGAUGCGUUCCAUUAGGCAGUUGGUGGGGUAACGGCCCACCAAACCUUCGAUGGAUAGGGGUUCUGAGAGGAAGGUCCCCCACAUUGGAACUGAGACACGGUCCAA